rnacentral:rRNA from 1 species
AUGUACAUCCCUACAACAUAUCGUCAAUGCACCGGAUCCCAUUAGAACUCCGCAGUUAAGCGCACUCAGGCUAGAGUAGUAUUGGGAUGGGUGAUCGCUCAGGAAUUCCUAGUGUUUUACAUG